rnacentral:rRNA from 1 species
UACAGAGGGGGCGAGCGUUGUUCGGAAUUACUGGGCGUAAAGGGCGCGUAGGCGGCCUUCUAAGUCGGACGUGAAAUCCCUCGGCUCAACCGAGGAACUGCGUCCGAUACUGGUUGGCUUGAAUUCGGGAGAGGGAUGCGGAAUUCCAGGUGUAGCGGUGAAAUGCGUAGAUAUCGGAAGGAACAUCAGUGGCGAAAGCGACUUCCUGGACCAGUACCGACGUCAGGCACGAAAGCGUGGGGAGCAAACAGG